rnacentral:tRNA from 1 species
UCCCUGAUAGUCCAGUGGCUAAGACUCUGUGUUCCCAAAGCAGGGAUCCCUGGGUUCAAUCCCUCGUUAGGGAA